CUGCGGUUGGAUCACCUCCUUUCUAGAGUACUAAAGUAAUAAGUCUCACAACUAUUACUUCAAUAAACUCAAUCAUCCUUGUUUAGAUUUCAAAGAUUGAUGAAAAAGCUAAUUUUGGGGAAUUAGCUCAGCUGGGAGAGCGCCUGCUUUGCACGCAAGAGGUCAACGAUUCGAUCCCGCUAUUCUCCACCUUAACUAUUGGCCUAUAGUACUGCUGGCUAGAGUGCACCCCGUGCUUUGGUGAGGUCACCUUUUCCUCUCAUGUUCUGCCCGGCGAAUUAAAGAUUUGUUUGCAAUAUCCUGCCUUGUAAGUUUGAAGACUUCGGGUAAGUAUAUUAAAUAUUUUUAAUAAUUAAAAAAUAUUUUAAUUAUCAGACUUACUUGAGGUUCUAAGACCGAAGUUGUCUCAAUUAUAAGACAUGUUAUAUAUUAGAUUAGUUAUAUAAAGUUGCUUGAAUUAUCCUUGUUAAGAGUCACAAGCAAGUUUUAAUAAAAACAAUUUUACAGGACUUGUUAAAGAAUAAAAUUAUUAUCAUCCUUGCUGUUUUCUUACAAGAUUAAAGAUAAGUUUUAAACUCACUGCUUAUUAGCUAUAUUUAGUUAUUAAAUGUUUAAAUAGCUUUCCGUCUAGACAUAGUCAACGUUUUUAUUGUAAAAAACUUUAACAAGGAAGGUGAUGCGAUUUAAGAAUAAAAUGUAAAAAACGUAAGCUACUAAACAUCGAAUG
rnacentral:tRNA from 1 species